rnacentral:rRNA from 1 species
GACGAACGCUGGCGGCGUGCCUAACACAUGCAAGUCGAGCGAGUGAAUCUCCUUCGGGAGUGAAGCUAGCGGCGGACGGGUGAGUAACACGUGGGCAACCUGCCUCAUAGAGGGGAAUAGCCUUCCGAAAGGAAGAUUAAUACCGCAUAAGAUUGUAGCUUCGCAUGAAGUAGCAAUUAAAGGAGCAAUCCGCUAUGAGAUGGGCCCGCGGCGCAUUAGCUAGUUGGUGAGGUAACGGCUCACCAAGGCGACGAUGCGUAGCCGACCUGAGAGGGUGAUCGGCCACAUUGGGACUGAGACACGGCCCAGACUCCUACGGGAGGCAGCAGUGGGGAAUAUUGCACAAUGGGGGAAACCCUGAUGCAGCAACGCCGCGUGAGUGAUGACGGCCUUCGGGUUGUAAAGCUCUGUCUUCAGGGACGAUAAUGACGGUACCUGAGGAGGAAGCCACGGCUAACUACGUGCCAGCAGCCGCCGUAA